GGACUGGAGUCUGCAACCCGACUCCACGAAGCUGGAUUCGCUAGUAAUCGCGCAUCAGCCACGGCGCGGUGAAUACGUUCCCGGGCCUUGUACACACCGCCCGUCAAGCCAUGGAAGCCGGGAGUGCCUGAAGUACGCGACCGCAAGGAGCGUCCUAAGGUAAAACCGGUGACUGGGGCUAAGUCGUAACAAGGUAGC
rnacentral:rRNA from 1 species